UAACCAACUACCCACUCAACCCUAGGGGACCACUAUCAUUCUAAAUGGGGACCACCAUCAUCCUAACCACACAUCCCAUCAAUCAACGGUUAAAAAUUUAUGAGUACAAGGGGGUCUAUACUCAUAAGAGUAUAGUAUAGUAUAGUAUAUAUAUAUAUAUAUAUAUAUUUUCGAGCUUUUCGAGCUUUUCGAGCCUAAUUCGAACGAGCCGAGUAAUACUCAAGCUCGGCUUGAAAUGAAUUUCGAGCCUUUUAUUUUGUUCA
rnacentral:lncRNA from 1 species